UUGAGGUAGGUGGAGGGGAGCGUCCCGAGCAUUUUGCCCUUGUGUUUGCCGAAGUCUAUGACUCUGUCUCGUGCGGGGAUUGGUGUGGGGGUGAAGGAGAAUGAGGAGGAGGAGGAGGGUUUUGGGGGUUUGGGUUUGAAGGAGCAGGAGAGGUGGAGGUGUGGUGUGUUGGUGGUGGAGGAUGAGGAGGAGGAGGAGGAGAAGGGGUUCGAAGGUGAAGUGUGGAAGUGGAAGAGAGUGCUGUGGGUAGUCAUUCUUGUUUUUGGAGUGUAGAAGAUAAUGUAGGGUGUUUGAAGUUUGAACCUUGAAAGAGUAUUCGGCUUAUCUCUACUUUAACAUGCAUAAAUAGAUCUGUCAGGUUAGAAAAAAUAAUAUAGAAAUAUAAUAGUCAAACAUAUAAAUUGAUAUAAACGGUUAAAAUUGUAUCGUGUAAAUACACGUGAUGUAUACAAGAAUUUCCACUGUUACAAAGCCACCACCCUAUUUGGUGUCAUGGUGAAGCUUUUUUUUGAAUUACCUAAAAAAUCAAAAUAAUAGAAAAUUCUAUAAAAAAAGAAGUUUUUAUGGACAUAACCAUAAAACACUAUUAGAAUUUUAUAGAGAAAAAAAAUGACGUGGUUUAUUCCUAUUUUUUAUAGAACAGUUAUCUAAAAAAUAAGAUAAUCAAAUUUAAAAAAAAAAAACUUUUUAAUUAAAUAACUCACACACCCUACAUAUGUCAAUGAAAUUUAAACUCAUAACCUCAAAGUUGUUAGUUAACACCUUAACCAACUAGACCACGGCUCAAAUAGGAUAAUCAAAUUCAUUCCACUUUAAGUGGAGCAGUUUAAGUUAAACUUCUCCUAUUUGUAUACCAGAUGAACCCAAAUUACAUGAAGUAAUGUAUCCUAACAAGAACUGGUUAAUAAAGAGUCUCAAAAGAGUAGUCGAUUUGAUACUUUAUUUGUAACAAAACGGUGGCACACCAUAAAGAUAACUCUACUAAAGGGAAACAUCAUAACAAGUAGCGCAACUUGUUGCACGAAAUCAUGUCUGGUUGCGCUUUGUUUUAUACUGUCACUAUAAAGUUGGUUGCAUUUGAGAACAUACAACCCUCUCUCUCUAAAUCAAGCAAGACACACAAAGUUUUCCUACCAUACUUGGAUGGGGACUUUUUUUUAUUGUGAGAAUAAAAAAGGAUAAACCCAAUUACAAAACCGUAAAAAGCAAGGCAAGAAAGUAAACAACAAAGAGUUUGGUUCUCUAACUCGAUCAAGCUAAAAAGAGUGAAAGAAAACCUACCAACUCGCUAAUCUAAGUACCGAAUGCCCUACAUCCGAAAUAAAGAAUUGCAACAAUACUACAAAUACUACCACACACACCACCUAUGCUUGGUAACAUUGUCGUCGCCGUUUCUGCUAGUAACUAUGAGGUAGUGAGGAGUACUAAACCGAAGCAUUGAUGCCCCAAAUACUUGAUGCCAAAUGAGUCCCAAUGAACAAAUCAUAUGGAAACCUUCAACACAUAGGAAAAGCUCCCUCAAAACCACACCAUACAAUCCACCAUCCAAACCUAAGCCAUGAAGGAGCUAAGGCUGUCGAGACUCACGAGAGAGGACCAAAAACCAGAACUAAAACAAAGAACCGAUACUAAAGAAAAUGGGGGGUGAUGAACUCACUCGUGAGCAUCUAUAAUCAAAUAGGUAAGUGCAAAAUUGCACUUUAAGCAUGCAGCCACACAAGCUCUCAUGAAGGUUCGCAAUGGUAGUUGACAUGUAGUUUUGGUGUUAGGUGACCAAUAAUAUGGAAAAAGAUGUGAUUGAUUGACAUCGGUGUAAGGAACAUAGUCUUCCCAUUCUCGACAUAGCCAAUAUAAUCCACCAAGGGAUGAAAACACACCACAUGGGUGAAGCAGCCCAUAAACAUGGAACCCGGUAUAAAUACUAACAAUGAAUAAGAAAUCAGUUAACAUGGUUACUUCAGUUGGGCUCAAAACCCAAACUCAAGCCAAUACGCAGGCACAUGCCUUGAGUAACUGAGGUCGCAUGUCAUGGGCAUAACAAGCCUAAAAACCCUGGCCUGUAAUGGAGGAAUCUAUCCCCAUGGGACCUUGCUACAGUAACUGUACGUCAUCCUCCAAGGCCUAUCAAACCAUUCCUUCCCCCAAAUAAUAGACUGGCCAAAGAGAUAGCCAAUCAACCAGAACCUUUCUCUCUCUAAACAUGUUUAUGGAGUAAGAGCAAUAAAGUCUCAAAAUAUACGAAGUACCCUAACCAAAACUUAAUUGUAUGAAAUAAGCUCUACGAGUUAUAUACUCUUGAAUGAAUAUAAUCACACAUCUUAUUACCAUUGGAUGGAAUGAGGUGUUUAAAUUAGGAUGCGGCUGUUACCACCUUAUCAUUUAUUUGUCUCAGCCAACAUAUGUUUGAAUUGUUAAAAGACUAUAUUACUCUAAUAGAAAAUAACAGAUAAAGACAAUUGUCAAUUAAAUACAAUCAACAUUUACACAUUAAAAAAGAAAAAAUAAAUUCUAACAAUUUUCCAUCAGAAUUAUUUCUUCUGCCCAAUAAACCCAAAACCCAGAUCUCAAUGUUAUUUCUUUACUGAAAACGGCAAGUGGAAUGUUAAUUUUUUUUAUCACGUUCCUAUCCCUUGUUUAUUUAAAAUCAUUUUAAAUUAACAUAUGGUUUAAGAGUGAUAGUUUUUCUCUUAUAAGGGUACAUUUGUAAACUUGUCACUUCUCUAUCAUAACCAUCGCUGUAUAUAGGUUCUCUUCUCAAAUAUCCUCAUCGUCUUUCCCGCUCUGCUCUGAAACCCUAAACAGUUUGUUUUCUUGGCGAUUUGAAUCUCGUUGGGUGUUCUCUGAAUCGAUUCGGUUCUCUGGUAGUUUGGCCCUUGGCGAUUGCACUCGGAAUCCUGUAUUCACUAGUGGUGGUCCUCCAUCCGCUAAUCGUUCAUCUGAUUCCGGCGGUGCUGCUCUGCAUCUCAGGCCUCUUUACCAAUCUGGUUCAGGUACUACCUCUUCUUCUUCUUGGAAUUACGAUUUCUUGUUUUUUCUUAGUCUAAUUGUUCAAUUGUUUCAGGCGAUUUGCUUCGUUUGUAUUUGGCCGAUCUCGGAGAAUGCAUACACAAGGUUAAACGGCGUCGUUAAAGAAUUGGAUUGGCGGGUUCUGAUGGGCCUCGUUGAUUGGUGGGCUGGCGUUAGGGUAUAUAUCUCAAUUCUCAACCCUUUUUGUUAGUUCGUUUUCUUUUCUAUUACAUAUACUGAUAAAAUGGGUAGGAAUUCUUGUGCAUUGGUCACAAUGAGAUUAGAAGGUAACUGAAGUCCGGUUAAUCAAAACUUACUACUACAAUUGCAUUGAUUGAUGGUUACAUGAGAAGCAUGAUCCACAAUUAGAGCCGCGUCAGCUACUUGAUCUGGACAAGUUAAUUUCUGCUAGUUUGUCUACUGGCUGUGUUGAUAGGCAUGAUUUGAGGAAUUUCAUUAUACCUAUUAUAUUUUUUCUAUUGGCUGAGUUGAUAAAUUGGGAUGAAGCACAACCCAUCCCUAGUAUUUUGUAAUUUUGUUACUUAAAGUAGUAGGUGUAAUUUGAAAUUAGUUGCUUAUAACUGGGUUUGGAAGUUCUCGUUUAUGUUGCUAGAUAUGAAAUAUUAUCUUUUGAUUUACUUAACUCUAUUUGUUGCAGAUCCUAGAGUGCAUAGAGCAGGAAACCAGUAACUUAAAGGGUAAGGCAAAUUUAAUUUUUGUUGGAUUUGUAUGUGUUUGUGUAUAAGACUAAGUAUACAUUAUUAUUCUCAGAGGUGGGCAGAAUAUGUUAUUCAUCUGCUUGUGUUUCUUAUUCAAAGGGGAAGAAUGUGAACUUGUCAUAUCCAAUGUUAGAAAUGAUGCCGAUCCUCUUCUGGAACAGGUUCUUGCUCAGGUACUCAGUUUACAUAUCAUGUCUUUAAUUUGCUAGGCAUGCAUUGUAGUACUUUAUCAGAUGUGUGAAUACAAAUACAUUGUUAGUUUGUCUAUUUGAACGCAUAUGUAUGAUGUAUACACGGUUAAAUCAUUCCUUGCUCAGGUACUCACUAUAUGAAUAAUGGCUUGUGGGCUACCAGAAAAAGCACAAUACUCAAAAAGCAUGCCCAUACUCAAUGUUUUAUUGAUUGAUUGGGCACAUGAUCUGUUUAAGUUAUAUACUUAUCUUGGAAAGCUACUGGAUAUAGGACAAAGCAAAGGUGGUGUGAGAAUGCUUUUGGUGCCUCAGAGAGAUAAAUUUUACGAAAUGGAAGAUCAGGUUUAUAGAUCUUGUCAGGACAAUAAGAGACUAAGAUAGGAGAAUGUAAUAAUACCCAAUCUAAUUUGCCAUACAAGUGAACCUGAUAUAGGUUUCAGAUACAUAUUCUCUGUGAAAAUUCAUGUAAAACUCAUUGAACAAUUCUGGACCCUUGAUGAUAUUGUACUUACCCAAGAUUUUCAAGACUAUUAAUGAUAUUAGCUCACAGACAUUGUAUUUGGAGCCCUUUAGAUAGAUUUUUGUUUCCUUUGACAGAGUCUUUCUACCACAGAGAAUUCUCUCUGGACCAAAAGGGUUUUAAAAGGUGGUGAGCUUAGUCUGGUGCUUACAUAUUGUCUGAACAUUGCUGCUACUGCAUUUAUUACUAUCUAGGUCUUUGCACCACUUAAAUAUUGCUGAUUUAGAACUAAAUUUACAUAUGCAGUGGUCUGGUUUGCUUGGCAGUUCAUUAGCUGUAAUAAAGACAUCAGCAAGAUACAGUCUGGUAUGUUCCAACUGAGAUGUCUUGUGAGCAUGUGGAGAUGAAGCUUUUUAAGUCAAGUACUCUUCAGCUCAUUUAUUAGUACUUUAUAUACCAUAGUCACUUGUUAAUGUCAUUAUUUUUAUGUUCUUGGGUGCUUUAGAUUAUGUUUUAAUUCUGCCUCUUGAGUUUGGGGAACCCUAGCUUUGUGACCUGACUCUAGACUGUAGAAGUAAUCAUUCCUGUCUAUCUGAAAAGCAAAAGUGAAAUUAGAAGAAGAGAAAAUAAAAGAAAGAAGAAUGAGACAAAGUUCACAGAAAGCCAAUUUGAAGAAGUUUAGAUCUAUUGUUACACAGACUUACCUUCUUAAAGGUUUUAAUUAGAAAAUAAAUGUAUGAAUGAUAUAUUCCAAUGAUAUCAAACAUCUUAUUUGAUAUUUACCUUUCUUCUUUUAAAAAGAGUGCCUGCUCUAAGUAGAUCUUUGGUUUAUUGAUCAUGUGCUUUUUCAUUCAAGUAUUCCUUACUUGUCGGGGAAUGUUAUUCCUUAUAUGUGCAGGUCAUAGGAUGGUCAAUGUGGAUUUCUGAAUAUUUUGUGUUUAUGUGAGGGCAUAACUUUCAUUCAUUCAUCAAGUCAAAUUAACUCAGAGAAUAAUCUUUGAAUGCUGUGGUAACGUUUGCAGUCAGCUCUGAAGGACUUCCCUCUGCCCUUUUGGCUAUCUGUUGUCCUCGAAAGAACUGGGUUUACUCAGGGAGAUCUUCGAGCUGCUCAGAGGCUUCCUGUCCCUAGCAAGGUUUUGAGUUCUGAUACUAAGGUACAGCUGUGUCUAUUUACUUCUGUUUUGACCAAGUAAUAAUAGUUGAUUCCUUGUAAUGUCUUUCCAUUUCGGGCUGAUUAUUUCAACUCUCCAUCACAAUUACCGCAUAUAGUGUUCUAAAAUCCUGCUUCAGAACCAGUACUAAAUGUUACAUGUGAUCUAGCUUAUCUCAAAUUCUGUUGCUUGCAGGAUUUAGCCUAUGCAGUAAGACGUGCGUACUCUGCUGUUCCAGCCAUUUAUGUUAUAACAGUGGCCAUUCGUAAAACGUCACCUCCACCCACACUUGAAAGUGUAAUUAAAGGAGGACCUUCUGUGGUAAGCCUAACAUACUUGACAUUUUGUGAAGGUUGUAUUAGUAUAUGAAAUUGUGUAUACUUAACCCUUUUCUGUUGUAACUUGUGAGUGCAUGUUUUAUGUCAGUAUAUCUCUCUUUUUGAAGUCAUUCUUUGCUUUUACUUUUUAUCUUUUUAUUUAUUUUUUUAUGGGAAUUAUGGCCUCUUUCUGGCUAGAUAUUUCUAUAACCACCGAUAAAACUGGGAAUGAGAUUUUCUUUUUCUUUUUUCAUCAUCAAAUGUAACAGUGUCUUGUAGUUGCAGUUCACAUUUCACAAUUCAUGCUUAGGGAGUUUUCCUUUGGGUACUAUAAAAUUUUGAAUAUCAUCUCUGGAUGUAAAUGUCCAGAGAAUCCUAAGCUCUUCUCCUUCAUUGGUAGCACUAAACUCCAUUCUUCUGCCGGUUUUUUUUUUUUGACAUGUUCUCUUGUAGUAGAAACAUGCUGGGAUAAUGUGGUAUUUAAUCCACCUUUUAAUCGUUUGCCUCAUUAAAUGGCAUGUCUCAUUACCAGCCCCUGGGUUUCUUUUCACCAGUUUGGAUUCAAAUGCAAACACAUCCAAGCAAUGUCUUUUUUUUUGUAGCUGAGCAUCCAUGUCCUUUAUUAAAUGAUACCUCCAUGUUGAAUUUAUUUUGAGUGUCAUAAGAAUAUUGUUGGUUAGUUCAUCAUACUGCAGGGCCAAUUUAGUUUGUGCUUAUCGUAUAUAUUGGAAAACCUGCUUAGUUGGUUAGUUGUUACUGUCUUGCAGGUGCAUGUGUACAUCAAGAGGCAUGCGACUAAAAAAUGGCUUCAAACUGAUGAUGCUGUGGAAAAGUUGUGCAGAGAAAUACUUGCAGCCAAGGUGAUUUCAAUACUGUGUUCCAUGAUGUUGUUUUUCUUGCAUUUUACUAUCAUAUAGGACUACAUCUAUUUUUAUUAUAUAUAUAUAUAUAUAUAUAUAUAUAUAUAUAUAUAUAUAUAUAUAUAUUGCAUAGAAUCUUAUUACUGCCCUCAAUAGACUACUAGUCUGGUUAAUGAUUUGUGUACUAGUUUCCUGAUUUUGACUGUUUGCUUCUGGUAUGCCAGGAUGCAUCAUUGGACGAACAUAUAACAGAGCACAGAUUUGGUGAUAAAGGAUUGCAAGCUAUUGGUCGGCCACCAAAGUGUUUCUUGGUGGGAGACUUGUGCUGAUUAAUUACCGACUUGCCACUCAAUUCUUCUCUAUUAGCAUGUGAUGAGUGUUGCCUAUAUAUGGGUUGUAGGGGUGUCUUGAAUGUCCUGCUAAUUAACUGUUGUUUGGUGCAGGUUGUUAUAUCUUCAAUUUUGUUGUGGGCUCUAAAGCUCAACUUUGUCUGCCGUUCUACACUGCUUGUAUCGAGUGCUGCCUUCUUUACUGGCCGGAUGCUUGCUCUGUUUGGACGUGGAGUGCUUUUGAUGUUGCGGUGUUUGAUGGGAGCAGUUAUAGCAAACAUUACUUGGUCAGAUCACCUGAAGCCCAUCUGUGAAGUGUUGAUUGUGGAAUUUUUUGAAACCCUUGAUAUUCUCCCUUAUGAUGUAGAUUGGUGGUAAAAUCGGAUCUGGAAAAAGCUUAUGGUUUCUUGAGUUGGGAUUGUAUUCAAGUGACCAGACGAACAAUACAAAAAGUUCUCUAGUGGACUUCUGUAUAUAAUUAUGAUAGUCUGAUAUCACCUCAAGCCCAUCUGUGGCGUGUUUUUUUUUUUUUUUGGGGAUCAAAAGUGACUUCAUUGAAAGACGAAGUGAAAUGGUUACAGGAGUAGAGUGUAAAACACUCAGCAACCUACUGAACUUCAAUACAGGAGUAGAGUGUUUCACUUCUUUCAGGUGGUGAUAGUUUGAACACUGUAUCAAUAUAUUACAUAAGCUGUUAUGCUUCCAUGGUUGCAAACAGUAAUGUACCCAAAAGAAAAAUUUUCGAGAAUUGAAACAUGAUUUUGUUUCUCUAGUUCACUUAAGUAUUUCUCUGUUCACUUCCUUUGCUAUUCGUUUAUUUGCUUGAUUUUGUAAACUAGUUUCUGAAAGUAUUAGUUGCAAUGUGAAAUUAGCUGCUCAUAAUUGUGUUUGAAAGUUUUCAAGAAAUCUUAGCUUUUGAGUUACUUAACUCUACUUGCUGCAGAUCCUAGAGUGUAUAGAGCUGGAAACCAGUCAUUUAAAGGGUAAGGCAGUUUUAAUUUUUGUUUGCUUCAUAUGUGUUUGUGUGUAAGACUAAAGUAUAUAUUAUUUUUGUGAAUGGUGGUCAGAAGAUGUUAUUUAUCUGCUUGUGUUUCUUAUUUAUAGGGGAAGUACAUGAACUCGUACUAUCCGUAUCCAAUGCUAGAAAUGAUGCUGAUCGUCUUCUGGACCUGGUUCUCGCUCAGGUACUCAGUUUACAUAUCUUGUCUAUAAUUUGGAAUCCCUUUUGACGGGUUUUUGUAUCUGCUGACGAAGUCUUUCUCCCACAGAGACUUCUGUCUGGACCAAGAGGCAAUUAAAAAGCUGGGUGGGCUUUGGCUGGUGCUUCCAUAUUAUUCUGAACACUGAUGCGACUGCGUUUAUUACUAUGCAUGCACUUCUAAUUUCUUUGCACUACUUCAACACUACUGAUUAGAACUAAAUUUACAUAUGAAGUGGUCAGGUUUCAUCGGCAGUUUAGUAGCUGUAGUAAAAACAUCAGCAAGAUAUAGUCCGGUAUGUUCCAACUUAGAUGUCUUGUCAGCAUGUGGAGAUGAUGCUUUAUAAGUCAACUAUUCUUCGCUUCAGCUCAUUUAUUAAUACUUUAUCUAACAUAUACCACUUUUAAAUAGCAUUUUGCUUAUGUUCUUGGGUGCUUUAGGAUUAUGUUUAAAUUCUGCCUCUUGAGAUUGGGGCACCCCAGCUUUUAUUGGCAUUAUGUUUACAUUCCUGGGUGUUUUAUGAUUUUGUUUUAAUUCUGCCUCUUGAGUUUGGGGCACCCCAGCUUUGUUACCGGACUCAACUGUAGAAGCGAUAAUUUGUCAGUCUGAAAGCAAAAGCGAAAUGAAAAGAAAAUUAAAAGAAAGAAGAGCAAGGGAAAGAUCUAAUUUUACAUAUAGUUACCUCUCUAAAGGGUUUACUUAGAAUAUAAAUGGAUGAAUGAUGUGUUUCAAUGAUAUUAACAUCAGUUGGUAGACUUUUCUUUUCUUAGGAAAGAGUGCCUGCUUUUAGUAAAUCUUUGGUUUAUUGGUCAUGAGCUUUUUCAUUCGAGUAUUCCUUACCUGUCGUGAAUGUUAUGCCUUGUAUAUGCAGGUCAUAUGAUGGUCAAUGUGGAUGUCUGAAUCUGUUUUUUCAAGAAGUUGCGUCCAAGAUGCAAGUAAACUCAAGGUAUUACUAAACAUUUUGUGUUUAUUUAGUGAAAGAGAAAGCACAAUUGUCAGUGAUUCAUCAAGUCAAAUUCACUCCUUUUGAGACUAAAAUUUGAUUGCUGUGGUAACAUUUGCAGGCAGAUCUAAAGGACUUCCUUCAGCCCUUCUGGUUAUCUGUUGUUCUAGAAAGAAUUGGUUUUACUCAGGGAGAUCUAACAUAAUACAAAUGAUAUAAGGGACUGAUUUCCACGCUCCUCUUUUCAGCAAACUUCACACUUGCACUCCCUUUCAAGCACAUAUAAUUUUGUAGCAUGUACAGACAAGGGCGUAGCUACAUGGAGAGCAGGAGGUUCAAUUGACCUCUCUCACCAUCUUGCCACAUCUAUCGUUAUUAGAUUUUUACUCAUAUAUACGAGUAUUAUAAACUCUUUGACUAAUUUUGCCCCUUCAAAUGUGAUAACAAAUAUACUUGUUUUUAGUUAGUUCAUGAGAUUAAAGCAAAAAAAGUGUUAAUUUGUUUGUAUUUAUUUUAUCUAAUAUUUUUAUCUAACAAACAUAUUUUUCCUACAUAGUUGACUCGUCUAAAUUAAGUUUGACCCCCUUUUAAUAUAAUUUCUGGCUACGCCACUAUGUACAGAUCGAAGGGUGGAAGUGGUGAAAGUUAAUGUAAAAAUAAACCCCAUGAAACCAGCUCGGGUCUAAAAAGUUAUGCAUUUGUGAAGGUGGUCUGUAUUUAUUUAUUGCCGAGCUUUCUCAUCUGGAAGCAAUCAAGAACUUGACACACGAGCUAAGGAAGUUGCAGAUUAUAAACUAGGAGCUUUCUCACUCUGUUGUUGGACAGAGUGAGAGCAAAGAAUCUGCCUCGUUGGGGUGAAAAAUGAGGGGAGUAGAUGCAGAUCAUGAGGAUUUCUGAGGUGAAAGAUCAUGAUUCUCAAAGCUAUGUGCUUUGUUGUGAAGCUGAACGUGAUUAGAAAUAAGUUGGAUUUGUUUUACAUAUGAACACUACUAUUUUAGAAUUUGUGUGGGUUCAUAAUUUUAAUCCAUGUUUGGCAUAUGCCCAUGAGAUAAGGACAUAACUUGGGUGACCUUGUUACCUUUAGGUGACAAGGGCCAAUAACAAUGCGCCACCUGACAUCUUUUAGGAAAGAAAAAAAACCGAAAAUUGUAAACAUUAAGAUUAAACAGAAACGAGACUCGUCAAUGGGAUUAAACGGAGAGAAGAAGGUGGCUAGCUCUUCUUUCCCAAAUUCCUCACAGACCCAAACCCUUGCUUUUGCAGAGACGAACUCUCCUUUCCCAAAUCCCACUUCUCUUGUGGAGACUCGAAGAUCUAAACCCUCGCAUUCGCCAAUCUGCUUUUCGUCCUCCUCCUCAUGUCUCUCUCUGAGUUUGACUCGAUCCUGACUCGGUCUUGACUCUUGAGUGACAUCGAAAGGUCUUGAGCUACAAGUUGAUGGGUAGGUAUGACUGAGCCAUUGUUAUCCUCCAUUGCCGAUUCUUUUUAUUUCUUUGGUUAAAAUAUCGAUUGUUGUAAUUUGGUUGAAGAUACUUGCUGUCAGUCUCGGUGUAUACAUUGAGCACAUGUGGCUUCCCCGUCCAUACUGAAUACUGAAAGCCAUUCUCUUUUAUGAGAGUUAAUUUCACUUUGUGAAAUGUUCACAGAAAACAUACAUUAAGGAAGGACUAAUAUCUGUCUUUGGAACCUUCUUCUGUUUCAUUUUUUUAGGUAUAUUUGUCCAUGUAAGAAUGGUAAUCAUUAGUCCCUUAUGAUAUGCAUAUAUAUUUAAAUUUGUUGUGUUGUUAUUCCCAAGCCUUUACAAGUUUAUAUAGCAGUAAUUGGGUUUAAGAUUUCGAAUAUCAAUGAAAUGAGACUAAGGUAAGGAACAAAAUCUUUGUGCUUCAGUUAAAUUGGACCAGUUUGUGUUUUUGAUUAUAUUUGGAGAAAUUACUGGUCACUCCAUUAACUUUCAUGCGUUCGACAGUUUACUCCAUUAACUUUCAAUUUCAAUUGAUCACUCCUCAAACUAUCCAAUGUCACACAAUUAGGUCCAUCCGUUAAGUGGCCGUCCAAAUCAGUGGUUAAGUUGCUAACUGGACAUAUUUUUCAACUGGAUGAAAUGAGAAAUUUCAUUUAACACCCCACCUCUCUCUCUCUCUCUCUCUCUCUCUCUCUCUCCACAACAACAAUACACACAUACGCAACCAACAUAUAACACAAAAUUGAAAUUAAGAUCCUGUUGUCAUCAGGAUAAAAUAGAAAACAGAUACCCAUACCUGCAAGAAUUCACUAAUGUAAUAAUAUUGCAAAGUUCUCAUUUUCUAUUAAUAUUAUGAGAAUAUUAUAAUCUAUUACUUGCAACAAACCCUAGAUAAUAUCUGCAUUGCUGGUUCUUUCCCGUAGACAAAGAAGAAUUCCAUGCUGUGGAUUGAGCAUGAGGGGACAAAAUCAAGAUCAUUCAGAGUAGAUGAUACAGAAGCACACAAAACAUAGGUUUAACAUCUAUCAAUACUUAAAUGCUUAGUUCUUUGUUUUCUUGUCUAAAAUAUCUCCAUAUAGAUAUAAACAAAACAACUAUCAGAUGAACAACUACAAACCUAACCAUAACCGAUUACCAGGUAAGGGUAAAAGACGAUGAAGAAAAGGGAUCGCCUUACCAUCACCUCAAGAGGCUGAGAUUUCCAUAAUCAAAUAGGUGACAGAAGCUCCGCUGCGAAGUUGAGUCAUAAGACAUGAGUCAUCCCUGAAGAAAACGAAGACAUGCAAUCUAUACAAAAUUACAUACCGAACUUGAAAACAUCGUUUCUCGAUCAAUCAAGCCAAAGAUGAGAUGAAGAUCAACGCCCAUAUACCCAAUUCAACAAAUUCCCCACUAGAUCUCAAACGGAAACAAACCCAGUAAAGGAUUCAACUUGUUGAAGAUGAGAGAUGCAAGAAGUAGACCCAAACAGACAGAAGAGUGAAAGACUGAAGCUUUACUCACUGGAGCUUUACUCAUUACUACAAACAAAAUAAAGGUAAUCAAUUAACCAAUCCCUCGCUGGAGCUUUACUCAUUACUACAAACAAAAUAAGUAAGAACAUGCAAUGUAGGCUAGUAAGGCAAUUUAACAAACACCUGGUGUGCAUAAAAUCAAUCCCACCACCAUCUCAAGAUGAAAUACCCAAUUUCGUCUUCGACUCCUUCAAAGAUAAUCCCCAAACCAAACACACGAAUCCCGCAUCCCUAUGAACACAACCCAGCAAAAGCAAUUAUAAAAAAAAAUUCUAUAUUUGAAUUGUAGAUCCCCAACCUAAUCCAAACAAACACUAAAUCAAUUUACAGUGAAUCAAAGAGCUUACCAACAGAGAUAACAUCAAAGCCUAAAUUAAUGUAGGAGUUCGCAAUGAGGUUCGUCUUUUGUCAAACCCUAAUUAUGUGGUCGUUCGGUGAUCGAGGGUGAGAGAUCAGAAUGGGUUCUUCGUGAGGUAUUGGGAUGAAGUUGGGGUUUUCAGAUCGAGUUUAGUGUGUUUGUGUUUGACAUGGGGUUGAGAGAGUAGUCGAGAGAAUGAAAUUAGACUCAGAUGUAUCGGGGGGAGAGAGAGAGAGAGAGAGAGAGAGAGAGAGAGAGAGAGAGUAGAGAGNGNAGUAGNGANGUANAGNNGAGAGNNGANAGNGUNANAGNGANAGUAGNAAGNGANCGAGAGNGAUAGANAGNGUGNAGAGACGAGAGAGUAGAGAGUANAGUAGUAGUACGUAGUACGUACGGUACGUACGUACGUAGUUACGUACGUUACGUACGUAGUAGUAGUAGUAGUAGUAGACGAGUACGUACGAGUUAGGUUGUAGUGUAGNGUAGAUAGGNUNANGAGAGAGNGNANGAGAGAGAGAGAGAGAAUGAAAGUUGAAGGUGAGUGAAUUGGUUUUUUAAUGUCAAAAAUCUCUUAUUGUACACUGGAGAGACAACAGUUUUCUGUCAUUUUAAAACAAGUCUUUUUAUUACUUAAUUUCUCUUGUUUUUAGGACGACAGAUGAUUGUCGUCUCAUGCACACGCUAAUUUUACUUGUUUGCACGUUGUUACAUUAAGACGACAGAUUUUUAAAUAUCUAUCGUUAAAAUUUAUUAUACGACAGUAAAAACGACUUCUGUCAUCUGAUCUCUGUCGUAUGAUUGCAAAAUUGGCGUAGUGAAAAGUCAUAAUCAUGUUUUGGUUGCUGCUCCUAUGAAGUAUAUGUUGAAGGUCAAUAGAAGUAUAUCAAAGGCACAAAAGGCAAAUGCAGAUGAUGCUGAAUAUUCUGGGUUCUCCCUGAAAUCCACUGUGGAUCUGAUGAAUAGAGAAGUAGGAGGGCCAGAGAAUCUUGGAUUUACAAAGAAGGAUUACAUGAAUUACAUAUAUAGAAAGCAAAUGUCUAAAAUGGAAAAAGGAGAUGCAUGUGCUAUAUUGCAGUACUUUCAAAAGAUGCAAUCUGAGAAUUCGUUAUAUUUUUAUUCAAUUCAACUUGACAAGGAUGACAUAAUCACAAACAUAUUUUGGGCAGAUGCUCGAUCGAUAAGUGAUUAUGGUCAAUUUGGAGAUGUGGUUUGUUUUGAUACGACGUACCGAACAAAUGAAUAUGGCCGACCCUUUGCACCGUUUUUUGGGGUUAAUCAUCAUAAGCAAACAACAUUGUUAUUACCAAAAAAAAAAGCAAACAACAUUGUUGGGCGUAGCUUUGUUAUAUGAUGAGACAAUUGAAUCUUUCAAGUGGUUAUUUGAGACUUUCCUCUCUGCUAUGUUUGGUAAGCAACCAUUGACCAUUCUUACUGAUUAGUCUGUUGCCAUGGCUAGAGCAAUACAAGAUAUUCUUCCACAAGCUACUCAUCGGUUAUGUGUUUGGCAUCUUUAUCAGAAUGCUGCUAAGAAUCUGAAUCAUGUCUUUCAUGGAUCCUCAGAAUUUGCUGCUGAUUUUGGUAAUUGUAUAUAUGACUAUGAGUUUGAGCAUGAAUGACUAUUAGCAUGAAAUUCUAUGCUUGAGAAAUAUAGCCUCAAAGAAAACAAGUGGUUGAAUGCUUUAUUUGAAUGGCGAGAGAAGUGGGCAAUGGUGUAUGAGAGACAUACUUUCACCGCUGAUAUGAAAAGAACACAGCAUAGUGAGUCCAUAAAUAAUGUGCUUAAGAAUUAUUUGAUGCCAGAGCAUAAUCUUUUGCGGUUUUUAGAACAUUAUGAAAGAGUUUCGGCUGAUCGAAAAUAUCAAGAGUUGAGGGAAUAGUUCAUUCUAAUGCUUGUGAAACAUUAAUUGUGCGGAGAGUUAAAAGAAAACCUGCAGUUGUCCGCCUACAUACCAGAUUCAAAGACCCGACGAGUAAUGUACCAAACAAAAGUACAAGAGUUCCCACAAGAAGAGAUCGAGUCGAACUCAGAGAGAGACAUGAGGAGGAGGACGAGAAGCAGAUCGGCGAACGCGAGGGUUUGGAUCUUCAAGUCUCCACGAGAGAAGUGAGAUUUGGGAAAGCAGAGUUCGUCUCCGCAAAAGCAAGGGUUUGGGUCUGUAAGGAAUUUGGCAAAGAAGAGCUAGUCACCUUCUUCUCUCCGUUUAAUCCCAUUGACGAGUUUGGUUUCCGUUUAAUCUCAAUGUUUACAAUUUUCGGUUUUUUUUUCUUUCUAAAAGAUGUCAGGUGGCGCAUUGUAAUUGGCCAUUGUCACCUAAAGGUAUCAAGGCCUGGUCACCCAAGUUUUGUCCAUGAGAUAAUAGCAGUGUUUUUCUGUUGUGGUUUUUGUAGUAAUUUUUGGAUUUUCAAAAAAGAAUAAAAACACCCUAAAGAUGGUUAAAGGCAUUAAACUAUCCAUGUUUUCAUAUUCCAAUUUUCUUUUUUUGGCUUUUUAUACUUUUAGGAACGUAGAGAAAAAAUUUAUUGUCACUUUUUCCUUACUAAUAAUGAGUUCUUCAUCUCAAUCAUCCUUAAAUGUCAACGACAACAACAAAAUUCUUGAGUGUGAGCGGAAACAAUAAGGAUUGAACUUCUGUAUGUUUCCUCUCUUCAAUCUUCUUCAAGUUUAUAAAGGCCAACCCAAAUCAUCAAAUUCCAAAACUUCUUUUAAUAUUUUUGAAAUAUGAAAACAAUUAAAAAAACUAAGAAAAAAAGAGAACUUAAGGGUAAAUUGGUCAUGUUAAUGGCUAUAUAUAUAUAUCAAUCUUAGGUCGGGAUGGAAACAUGAGAUACCGUUAUGAUAUUUUCAAAGCUUGAUAUACCAAAGUUUAUAAGGAGCAAAAGUUCAUAUACCAUUCAGACGAAUUUCUUGUAAUUUUAUAAAAUUAUUGUAUGGUGAAACUAUUUCCUAUCUACAAAGUUACUCUUUACUGUUUUGUGUAAAUUGAAAUGGUAUAACUAAAAUGUAAUUACUGCUUCAGUUACUUACUAUUUUAGAACAACACAAUUAAUUACUUAUUAUUUAUGGGAAUCAAAUCAAAUAUAUAUGAUUAAAUGUGUUAAUCAUGUAUAUUAUUGUUUUCUGCACGUGAUUGACCACCUAUAUAUGUCGCAAUAAUCAAAAUGUCAAUUGCGAGAACAACCGCUUCACAAACAGUUUAUUUGGCAAACUAACAUGUAUGAUUUACAUUACAGUCGUUAAAUUUUGUUCAUAAUAUUACGCAUGUUACAUGUGGAAAUUAUUUUUGAGAAUAUUGUCACAUGUUAUAAUGUUAUAUGUUAUGCCUAUUUAAUUUUAUUAAAUGAUUGUUUCAUUAAGAUGACAUAUAAAUUCUGCUGCUAUGGAAAAGAAAAUUCAUAACAUCGAAAUGACAAAUCUCGUUGAAACAUUUUUCACAAAGCAUUGGAAAAUGUGACCACUAUGAAUUUUGGGCUUCAGAUCUAAUUCAUAUCUCUUGGAAAAUGAUUAACAUGAAUGUCUUCAUGACUGAGUAAAAAGAAAAUGAUGAUGAAACUUCAUAUGCUUAUAAAGCAAAGAAAAUGAUUAAACCGAAAAUUUUAUUAUGAUCACGAAAAUUCACAAUCAAAAUGACAAUUCUGCAUCUUGAAAAUUCACAACGACAAUGUAAGGUCUGCUAAGAUAAAGACAUUUACUAUAAUAAAUAUGCUCAGCAAAACAACCUCAAACAACUCAAAGUAAAAGGCAAUUACCGUAUGUAUGAGGGUCUAGGAGACGUGACAUGUGCAGUGAUGUACAUAGCCAUUUUUGUGAAUAAACAAAAUUUCUAUAUAAACAUUGCAAGCCAACAAACAAAUUAGCUGCGACUUACAAGAGGUUGUAGAUAAUCAUGGAAGCAAGAGGAAUUGAAAAAGUAUAUUCCAACACCAGGAUUGAAAAAGGAUUAUCAAUCCCUAGAAGCUUACCAUAUGAAAGAUGGAGAUGACGCGGAUGUCAAUCUAAGAAAGUUUCAGACUUUGGUUUAUCUGCUAUUAGUUUUCCAAGAUAUUCUCGUUUAAUGAGACUAUUGUUUUUGUCUUAAAGUAUGUGGAUAAUGCCUAAUGAAUUAGAUGAGACCUUGAUUUGAUUAUCGUUGGCCUAUUAAAUUCCACAUUAUAUUCAAAAGUAUAUAAUUUAUUCGAUUUUCUUUUACUGCAAAUAUAUGGUUAGAAAUAGCACUAUAAAAAUACAAAGUAAUGCAUCCGACAAAAAAAAACGUUAUUAGAAUGAAAAGCAUAUAUAUCAUUCUAUCUAAAUUGAAAUACUCUACAGAACAUAAACGUAUCAAUCUACCUCAUCUUUCCAAUUAUAGAUACUCCCAUCUACUUUAAGAAAUUUAUGGAGUAGGACUACCACACUCCUUUAAGGAAUAAGGUAGACAAUUAUUUAUGCCUCAUAAUUUAACUAUGAUGACUUGAACGUUACAACAAUGUCAGAUUUCUGUUGCCUAACGACAUAAAAUUUAAAGUCACAGAAGCUCUAUGUGCACCACGUGCUAAUCGAACAAUGUUAAAGUUUUGAUAUUCGGCCAACGAUUAUCAUAAGAAAACCAACUGUGAGAAUGAAAGUUAUCUCAAAUAUAUGUGUAAGGGAACACAUUUAAAAAAAAAACAAACAAAGUCUCCUACAAUGAAAUGUGGGAUGCCGACUUACAUAGGCUUUGGAAUGACCAACCUAGAACAUUCUAGUCAUAACAUGAUGAUAUGUAUUUCAAAUAACUCACACAUACAUCAUUUAUUUUGUGUGUAAUAAAAGGGGAUAAAAGCCUGUCACACUGCAAGGAAUUCACUCAACGCGAAUGUAUUGAUUAUAAUGGUACUUUUACGCUUGUUGCGAAAUUGACCACUAUUCGUAUUCAAUCUCUUCCUCGAAGAUUUAAAACUUCAGAUUUCCUUAAACCUCGAUUCGUAGCUGUGGAUAAGCCUCAAUCCAAAUUAAACUGUACCGGUGCCAACAUAAGAGAGAGAGAGACUCAUGGUCAAAGUUAUUGGUCGGGGUAAUUAUAACCGGUCCGAAGUCAACGUGAGAGAGACUUAGGGUCAAGGUUGGGGUAGUUUGGGUACGAUUUGACACACAAGCUUUUAAGUUGAAUUACAAUGACUGUUUUCACCGAAAGUUAAAUGAGAAUUUACUAAUGUGUCCUUUGAACUCAAAUUGUGUGGACCAUAUAAUGACACGUGGCUGCGCGCAUUGAUCACUUCUAAUAGAAGUACAAAGCUGACAUUUCACAUUCUAGCCCUUUAUCCCAUAAGUGCCCUAUAAGUUGCCACCGUCGAUAUUUGCGAAUGAAAUCUGGAAAGACAAAGCUCACCUCUUGGUUCAGAUUCAAAAUACAUAAAUCACUCAUAAGUGUCAACCUAAUGGUUUAGAUUCAAAGUACAGAAAUCACUAAUAAGUGUCAUAAGACAAAUGAUUCAUAUUCAAAAUAAAGAAAUCACUGAUAAAACUGUCCUAGACUUCAAUUUUGUAAGCCCUUGCUUCAAUAUUCAGCACCCCAGCAUAUUUUGUUCUUUCAAUAUUUGAGUUUCUUUCUUAUCUUCAGGCAGUUGAAUCCUACCAAAUCCUUUUUCUCCCCACUUUUCCCCCCAACUGUUGCGGAUGCUCAAAUAAUACGGCUUUGCAGUUGCAUUGUAACCACUUAUAACAACUGCAUGUUCAUCCAUGCCAUUUAUUUUGCAUUUUUCAUAGUGCAAUGGACAUAUAAACAUUUUUUGUAGUGCAAAUAUCUGAGUUUAUAUUUGAUAUAAACAUAUAAGCAACAACAACAUAGACUGAAGCAGAAAACAAAUAUUACAACAACAAAUUACUUUCUCCACAACGUGGGCAGUUAUAUCUUUUGCUUCCCUUAUAUUCAGUAAAAACAUCGUCCACUAAAAGUAUCCCUCUUUUGUAUUCAUUCAGCUCUGGUAUAAAUUUGAACUCCCCCACGUGAGGCUGCUCUGAACUACUUUUCAGGAUAUUGUGUCUACCAUGAAUCAUUUCAUAGUCCUUAUUCUUUAUGAUUCUUUGUUCAAUUACCUAAAAUGAAGUUGUUAGAUUAUGAAAGUAUAAUAUCUAGCUAAGAUGUUAGAAUUAGAGGUUCAGACUUGUUAGCCCGUGAUCUCUUGCCUGCUUUAAUUAGUGCAGUUUGUAGUUCAUACUUAUCUUCGUCUUUGUUUAGGUUCUUUGUGGCAUUUUUGUGGAACUUGUCUAUGUCGAUUAGAACUGUCUUGCCAAACACUCUUAGAAACUCUGCCUCGAUGAGACCCUUAGCCGCUCAGAAUACACAUCUCUAAAACAUAUCUCUACUAUUAGAAAGCCACACACCCUCUUUGGUGUCAUGGUGAAGCCUUUUUAAAACAACUCAUAUACCCAUGAUAGAGGACUUUGACAUAGAAAAAAAAAUACAAGAAUGGUUAAAUACCGUAAAAUAAAGUAAUUUACAAAAAUAAUAAAAAGACAAAAAACAAAAAAAAAACCAAAAUAAAGGAGAAAAACGUAGAAUGCCAACUGCAAUAGCAAUUUUUUGCAAUUAAAAUCUGAAAGUAAAAACUUAAUCUUUUUUUAUAAAACAAAAAGAUAAAAGCAAAUUGACACACGCGUUAAGAGGCUAGUAAUAUAUAAAAGAAUUAAAUUCAGUUUACCCUCAUAGGUUUGGGAGUAACUUCAUGUUAAUCUCUAUACUUUCAAUUUCAUCAGUUUAUCCCUCAAACUUUUGAAUUUUCCUCAAGCGUGACCAAAUGUCCUAUAUUCUGUCCAAAUCGGAUGUUAACUGCUGAUAAUUUUAACCUUAACUGUGAGGCCAGUAUCUAGAAUUUGGGCAAAUCGGACCUUAUAUGUCCAAAUCGGACCUUAACUGCUGAUAAUUAAAGGUCAAAUCAAACGGAAUACGAGAAUUUGGGCACGGCAGAUAGAAAUUGAAGAGUUCAAGGGGUAAACUGAUGAAAAUAAAAGUGUAGGGACUAACAUGAAGUCACCCCCAAACCACAAGGGGAUAAACUGAAUUUAAUUCUAUAUAAAAUAAAGUUUUGUAAGUAAUUAAAGUAUGAUAAAAGUAAGUGUACUAACAUCAUCUUCUUUAUACUGUUUGGAAACUGGAUGCACAAAGUCUUCAGUGCCAUGAUAUUCAGUGUAUGCAUAGUUUGAAUAUCAUAGCACUGAAGUUAUUUUCUUAAAGUAAUCUUCCCACACUUCAUCGCUAGCAGUUAUUUUCUUUAUGAUGGGAUCUCACCCAAAACCGGAGCUAUGAUGCAUAAGCUCAGUAUACAUAGUGUACUGUUGUUUAAACCAUAUCAAUUUAUGUGUGUAAUGCUUAUAAGUUUUCUCACACCCUAGUUUUUUUUAUUAAAAAGUGGAAGGAUUUUGUUCAACACUGUUUUUUAUCUAUGCACUAGGCCAUAUAAAUUAUCAGACGACACUUUUCAGACGACAUAUUUUGGACGAUUUUGAGUUUGUGUCGUCUGAUUAAUUUUUCGACCCUUCAGACGACAUUUGUGAAGUAUAAGUCGUAUGAGUGCCAUGCUCCCUUCAUACUUCUGGAUGUUGCUCAAUUUGUCUGUGAUAUGCAAAAUUUCAGACGACAUAUAUAUGCAGUGUAAAAAAGCAACAUUUAGCAACUUUAUAGUAAUACGUCGGACAACAUAUAAAAGUUGUCUGUGAAAGAAUGUGAAAUCUACUUUUAAUCCCCUUUUUAUGUACUUCAUCCAACAACAUAUUAAUGUCGUCUGAAACAACCAUAAAUCUUUGAUUUAUACCUUCAUUUUGAACCCUUAAAUUCACUUAUUCAGACGACAAACAAAUGACGUAUAAUAAACCCAUAAAAUUGAGUGUACGAAUCUUGUAAUGUAUAACUUCAGACGACAUAUGAAAGUGGUCUCUCUGACCCUAAAAUACUCAAUUUAUAAUUAAAUAUUGAGUUUGGUUACCUUUUAUUGUAUUUAAUAAGAUGACAUAUAAAUGUCGUCUGAGGGAACCUGAUAUAUAAGUUUGAAAAAAGGCUCAACCUAUUAAUCUAUUCAUUAGACGAGGUUAAUAUGUUGUCUGUAUGAACUUGAAAUAUUCAAUUCAUUUGAGUUUGGGCCAACCUUAAUGUAUUCAUCGCACAACAUAAAAAUGUCGUCUGGACCUGAAAUAUUUGAAUUUGGGUGCCGGAAUUUUCCCUCGCUUUUCUUCAAUGUGAGACGGCGAUUAUAUGUCGUCUAAGGUUGUAAAUAAGUGGUCAACAUAAAUUGUGCAUAUUUUCCAAAUGGAAACGCUCUUAUCUCCUCCGACCAAAACUUAUAUUUUUGAUUAGCCGGUACUCAAACUCUUGUUAAGAGCAGGAAAACAUAUAUAUGUAAUAGUUUGGACACUUUGAUGAAACGAUUAUGUACUUCUCCUUGUGGAAGCUAUAAGAAAGUUUAUGUAUAUAUGAAGUUGACUCUAAUGAUCGAGACCUAUAAGUUAUCGAAAAUGGAUAAAUUUUCUUCCACAUACAUAUUUAAGUACUGCGAUCAUAUCAAACGGUCAGAUUAGGUAAAUUUUGUUUCUUGCAUAUAGUUGUCUUAUAAGAUGCAUGUUUACUAAAGAACUUAGUAAACAUGUUAUAGCACAUUAGUACGCACGUUGUGAUUCAAACGAACGGUAAAUAAUUUUUUUUAAGUUUUAGAGUGUCAGAUNUCAACAUAAUAGUGAAUUAUGGGUGUAGAACAAAAUUCAAGCAUUUUCGAUAAAGUUCGGAUCUCGGUCGAUGCGGUUAACGUGAAUGGAAUCUUUCUUAGUAAUUUCAGACGACAUAUAUAUGUUGUCUGAAAAAUACUUUUAAAAGUCAACACUUUUAUCUAAACGAAAACCCUCUUAUUUAGACCGACUAAUACUUAAAGUUGAGAUUCGUCAAUUCUAGCUUAUACCCUCAUUUAGUGUCAACGAAACUAUUUCAAGUUGACGCCUCAGAAGACCAAAAAGGUUGACUUUUUGUCCUGUUGCCUUUUUGAACGUUGUGGAGUACGAAUGUUUAAAUCAAGUUUUUAUGAACGUUGUGGAGUACGAACGUAUAAAUCAAGUUUUUAGUGUUACGAAGAAACGAGUGUAAAUUAAAGUCGAGCUUGAAAUAGAGAGAAAUUUCUAGACAAGUCUUGAAACUUAGUCGUGGGGGUAAUUUUGUUUCACACGUAUAAGUAUACAAAGGAUGUAAAAAACCCUAGCACUCCAAAACUCUCCCUCUCCCUCCCAGCCGCAUCCCUCUUUUCUAUCUCUCUCCCUCUCUCGAACUCUCUCGAUCUCUCUCUCUGUGCUUUCCUCUGCCAGCGUCGGAAAUGGUAGCUCCGGCCACCGUCUCACCCAAUCACCUCCACCAAUCGAUUCACCGCUUAAACUAAGCCAUACCCAACCCAAAUCAACAACCUGCAACUACCCCAAUGUCGGUUCUCAAUCCCUAGACAUCCACUUUUGGCGGAGAUCGAUGGAGGAGGAUGGUGACUGUCCUUCUCUGUUUUUCGGCGAGGGCUUGGGCUCCGGUCACCGAUCCACCUAGUGACGGUGAGACCCUUCCUCCUCUCUUCCUUCUGCACAGUCUAGUGCUUUAUUUCCUUCAAUUGAGACCUAACUCAGAAAUCCCCUUUUGUGUUUCUAGGUUUCUUGAGCUUCUUUUCCGGCGAUUGUGUUCUUCGUGUUCUGGUGGCGACCACGAGCUCCGACGAGUGUAGUUCAUCCUUGGCGAAGCCGGGACUUAGAGUUGGGAAGCUUUGAGGCAGCUGCUGUUAUGCAGCAUCGUGGCAGAGGGACUGCUUAUUGAUUUCAAGCAAGGAGAGGUUGCUGGGUUUGAGUGGUGUUCAGAUUGGAGGUAAGGAGUUUGAUUUGGUCGGCUGUGUUGUUGUUUGUGUUGCGGUUAUUUAGUUGGAUUGUGACUGAAAUCAUUGUUGUGGUUGAUACUUGUCGAUAACUUGGUGAUAGGAGUUUAUGGGGAGGCUAUGGCGAAAUUUCGGCAAGUCACUGGAAUCCGACGAGUAUUCGGGAUUCCGGCGAGGCAACAAUUCCGACAGAAUCCGUAAAGUUAAACAUUUGUGGUCUCAAGACAAGUCCAACGACAAGUAAUUGUCGUUGAACUCUAGAUGAUAUAGCGCCUAGUAGUUUGACAAUAUGAGACGACAUAUAGUUGUCAUUAGAAGUCUCAUGGUACAACAUAUCUUUGUUUUAUUUGUCGUUGAACGUUAUAUCAGUCGACACUUAUCUAUAGUAUGAAUAAAUAUAAGAGGACGUAAACAUCAUUAAUUUCUUCCUUAUUCUGGCUUCAGUCGACAUUUAUAUGUUGUAUGUAAUCCAUUAACACGACAUAUUUUUCUGAAACCUUCCAGAUUCAGCUUCUUCCAGACGAUAUAAGAUAUGUCGUCUGAACAGAUAUCAGACGACGGUGGAAAACUGUUAUCUGAGGUCAAUCACACGACACAGCCUCAGAUGACAUAAAAAAAACUGUUAGACGACAGACCUGGACUGUCGUCUGAUGAAUAUUUUGACAUAGUGAUGGUACCACUUUGAGGAUCACGCCAACCAUGUUGGUAGCAUCAACCAAGACUUGCAGCAACUCAUUGCUCUCUUCAUUAGUCC
rnacentral:lncRNA from 1 species